rnacentral:rRNA from 1 species
ACGAACGCUAGCGGCGUGCCUAAUACAUGCAAGUAGAACGCACAGUUUAUACCGUAGCUUGCUACACCAUAGACUGUGAGUUGCGAACGGGUGAGUAACGCGUAGGUAACCUGCCUGGUAGCGGGGGAUAACUAUUGGAAACGAUAGCUAAUACCGCAUAAUAUUAAUUAUUGCAUGAUAAUUGAUUGAAAGAUGCAACUGCAUCACUACCAGAUGGACCUGCGUUGUAUUAGCUAGUAGGUGAGGUAACGGCUCACCUAGGCGACGAUACAUAGCCGACCUGAGAGGGUGAUCGGCCACACUGGGACUGAGACACGGCCCAGACUCCUACGGGAGGCAGCAGUAGGGAAUCUUCGGCAAUGGACGAAAGUCUGACCGAGCAACGCCGCGUGAGUGAAGAAGGUUUUCGGAUCGUAAAGCUCUGUUGUAAGAGAAGAACGGGUGUGAGAGUGGAAAGUUCACACUGUGACGGUAUCUUACCAGAAAGGGACGGCUAACUACGUG